rnacentral:rRNA from 1 species
AUUAAACGCUGGCGGCAUGCCUUACACAUGCAAGUCGAACGGCAGCACGGGGGCAACCUUGGUGGCGAGUGGCGAACGGGUGAGUAAAGCAUCGGAACGUGCCCUGGAGUGGGGGAUAACGUAGCGAAAGUUACGCUAAUACCGCAUAUUCUGUGAGCAGGAAAGCAGGGAUCGCAAAGACCUUGCGCUCUGGGAGCGGCCGAUGUCGGAUUAGCUAGUUGGUGGGGUAAAGGCCUACCAAGGCGACGAUCCGUAGCGGGUCUGAGAGGAUGAUCCGCCACACUGGGACUGAGACACGGCCCAGACUCCUACGGGAGGCAGCAGUGGGGAAUUUUGGACAAUGGGCGAAAGCCUGAUCCAGCCAUGCCGCGUGAGUGAAGAAGGCCUUCGGUUGUAAAGACGUCUUCGGUUGGGGGAAGGAAAAGUUAGCAUAGGCUAAUAACCCUGUGUAGAGUGACGGUACCUGGAGAAGAA